rnacentral:sRNA from 1 species
GACCGGUGCGUGUCAACCGGACGCGAUGGCAUAGGGAACGGACCAGGUUUUUCCGGUUUCCCGGUCCGGCCAACGAAACGGCAGCCGAGCCCUUAUCCCAUCCGCACC